rnacentral:rRNA from 1 species
UACGUAGGGUGCGAGCGUUAAUCGGAAUUACUGGCGUAAAGGCGUGCGCAGGCGGUUUUGCAAGCCGGAUGUGAAAUCCCCGGGCUUAACCUGGGAAUGGCAUUUGGGACUGCAAGGCUGGAGUGCGGCAGAGGAGACUGGAAUUCCUGGUGUAGCAGUGAAAUGCGUAGAUAUCAGGAGGAACACCGAUGGCGAAGGCAGGUCUCUGGGCUGACACUGACGCUCAUGCACGAAAGCGUGGGGAGCAAACAGG